UUUAACAUCCUUUGUUCAUGAUAUUGAACAUGUUACUGAUAUUGUAACCUUCUCUGUUGAAAAUAGCCUUUGAGAUUGUGCAUGUCAUAUAUUCCAGGCACUAUUAGGUGGCCUAAGUCCAAAUUUAUUUCUAACAGAAAGAGUUAUGUCCAAAUAACUUGUUGGAAUAUUGAUUAAAAACUAGGGUCUGGGUGUGAAUAGGUUGGAAUAAUAAAAAUAUUCAGGGUUUGACUUUUUUCCAGUCCACAUGUUGGGAUUUAGAAUUAAGACAAAACCAAUUUGAAUAGGAAAUGAUAUUAGUAGUGGUACUUCAAUUGUGGCACAUCUUUCCUUUUGUUUUUGAGCUGGUGUCUUGCACUUGGGAGAGUAACCUGAGAUCAGCACUGAAGGAAGUCAGAGUGUGUGGAAGAUGGUGGAUGGUUCCCUCCUCUUCUCUCCGGGCCUCAGGGCUCAGUGCGGAUGCAGAGUAUGACUUGCUUUUGUUCCAGCCAGGUUCUCAGAGCCUCAGGGGUGGAGGAGCAGAGCUGGAUCAGGAGUUGCCAAGCCAAAUGGCCCACAGCAGCCAGGCAGCGACGGAGGUCAGGUGGAAGCUGAGAGGCAGCAGAAGUGGAUAAAGUUGUCUCAUCUCCCCAAUGAGCCCUGACCUGGUCUUCAGGUCCAGAUGCCCUCUUGCGCUUGGGACUCUGAUUUGGCUACCACGGUGCUCAUGGGUCUGCCUGCAUCUGAGAGAUGAAGGAAACUUGGAUGAAGCCAACUAGAAAUACUCAUUGCUGUUGACCUAAAGUAACUCACAUGGUAUUGUACAUCUGAAUCCAGGGUCCUUGUUCAUUUAAUUCCAUCCAUAUGCUGGCUGGCACAGCACAUAGACAAGUUCUUAAUUAAGAGAGUACCAUCAGGUUGAUGAUAAUACUCCAGCUUAAUUGCUCUACAUCAAAUGUAAGAUCAGGCCCUUCAUUUACUUUAACACUCGAAAUCCUUCCUUGGUCUUCCCAUUUCACUUUUUAGAGGUUCAGUACAUUUGGUUGUGGCUCAGUCAUAGAAUACUUGCUUAGGAUGUACAAGAUUUUGAGUUCAAUCUCCAGCAAUCCCCCAAAAUUAUCAUAGAAAGAAGCAAGACAAAAUCUCAAGUUUUCUUCUGGCUCUAACACACACUUGGGAAGGCAUUACUCAGACUGCGAUUUGAUGGACUAAGCAAUGAGAAAAGGAAGAACUGGGGAUAAUCCUCAGAACACCAGAGCCAAGCAUCUAUCUGAGAGGGUGCCAAGCACCUUCUGAGGCAGCCCUUCGACUAGCUGUGCACUGUGAGGAGCAGACAGCUGGCUCAGAGCCGAGUUCAGCCCAGGCUGGAAGGCGUUUCCAAGGAAUUUCCAUCUUCUGCCAACUGGAUCACUUGAGUCAUCUCUCAACAGUACAUUGGAAGCACAGUGCUCAUGGAAGUCCUCAGGCAUUAGCUGGGAGCCCGAUCUGGGUUUGGCUUCCCAGACCUGCCACAUCCGGUUUUCAAAACUUCACCUGGAUUUGCAGGAAACAUUGGGCACCAAGCACUCUGUCAACACUUGCUUCUAAACUUAAGUUUCCAAUAAUGACUCCCCAAUCUUGUACCCACAAUCUGAAAAUGGCCCCUUCCUAUUUUUUUAACCAUGUUCUUUAGUGCAAGUUAAAUAAAAGCAAGAAAGAAAACGGAGUACCUGGGGAGGCUUCCUCCGCAGGCAGGUGCCACUGUUCUCGCUCAGAUUGGCCUCUCUGGGAGCUGAGCUCCUCGCUGCAUUCUUCUGCAGAUUGGCCUCUGAGAUCUCUGGGAGCACAGUGUGGCUCUGUCCCUUCUGCUUCACUCUUGGCGCCACUGUUCGUAUUUCAGUCUAUGAGCAACCUGAUAGCAGGAAGCACAUUUUCAACCAAAUGAGUCUUUUCAAAAACAGAGAGUAUCAAACACAAAUCAGAACAUGUGUAACCUCCAGUCUAGUUCUGAGCCUAUGUUGGUGAGCUGCUACCUUUAUGCUCUUUGAACUUCCUCUUAACGUCUUCUGCCUGUAGCACCUGAAUUUUCCUGGGGAGGCAUGCCCUUCCCACAGUCAGUUCUCGUGGCUCUAGUGCAGGUGCCUUCUCACACCUUCCUGGCUUGGAAAGUGCCCCAUCAGAGCUAAUCAGAGCUGGUAUCAGUGAGGAUUAGGUUUGGUGUCCAGUGAGAGAUUCAAAGUGGAAGUGGCCUUUAAACAAGAUACCUUUCAGUUCUCUCUCACAGAGAAGUGCAGAUCUAGGUUGUUUAGGGCUGCAGUAGUUGUGCCCUGUAUUUUUUUAAAAAGGAAAUUUAGCUGGGUGGGCAUGGUGGCAAAUGCCUAGAUCCCAGAAAUUAGAGACUUAGCAAGACCCUGUCUCAAAAUUUAAAACAAUAAAAUAAAUUUAAAAAGAGUUAGGGAUGUAGCUCAAUGUGAUGGACCUAGUUUCAACACCCAGUACCAUACAGACACACACACACUCAUGCACACACACACACACACACACACACACACACACAAUGUACUAAUUCUAAAAUGCAUAUGAAAAUACAAAGAACUGAAAUAGAGUACUUAGGCUUAGUCAAGCUAGACAAAUAAACCAAUGAAACAGAUAGAUGCCAGAAAUAGAAAUGGACCUAUACACAUAUACAGUCAGUUAAUUUUUAACAAGGAUACAAAACAAUUCAGAGACAAAGAGGAGAUUCUUUUUUCCCUAAAUAGACUCUAACAAUUACAUAUUUAAGGGAAAUUUUGGCACUUACAUUAUACCACAUACAACAAUGAUUCCAGAUGAACUAAGGACCUAAAGUAAAAGCAGAAAUUUUCCACUUCCAGAAAUAAAAGAAAAAGAAACUACUUUUAAGAUUAUAGGUCUGGCAAAGAUUUCUUUGACAUAAUGUAAAAACAUUUUAAAAACAUACAAAAAAUAAGUUUAAAAACUGACAAAUUUUACAUCA